CGAACGCUGGCGGCGUGCUUAACACAUGCAAGUCGAACGGAAAGGCCCUGCUUUUGUGGGGUGCUCGAGUGGCGAACGGGUGAGUAGCACGUGAGUAACCUGCCUUGACUUUGGGAUAACUUCAGGAAACUGGGGCUAAUACCGGAUAGGAGCUCCUGCUGCAUGGUGGGGGUUGGAAAGUUUCGGCGGUUGGGGAUGGACUCGCGGCUUAUCAGCUUGUUGGUGGGGUAGUGGCUUACCAAGGCUUUGACGGGUAGCCGGCCUGAGAGGGUGACCGGCCACAUUGGGACUGAGAUACGGCCCAGACUCCUACGGGAGGCAGCAGUGGGGAAUAUUGCACAAUGGGCGGAAGCCUGAUGCAGCAACGCCGCGUGCGGGAUGACGGCCUUCGGGUUGUAAACCGCUUUCGCCUGUGACGAAGCGUGAGUGACGGUAAUGGGUAAAGAAGCACCGGCUAACUACGUGCCAGCAGCCGCGGUGAUACGUAGGGUGCGAGCGUUGUCCGGAUUUAUUGGGCGUAAAGGGCUCGUAGGUGGUUGAUCGCGUCGGAAGUGUAAUCUUGGGGCUUAACCCUGAGCGUGCUUUCGAUACGGGUUGACUUGAGGAAGGUAGGGGAGAAUGGAAUUCCUGGUGGAGCGGUGGAAUGCGCAGAUAUCAGGAGGAACGCCAGUGGCGAAGGCGGUUCUCUGGGCCUUUCCUGACGCUGAGGAGCGAAAGCGUGGGGAGCGAACAGGCUUAGAUACCCUGGUAGUCCACGCUGUAAACGGUGGGUACUAGGUGUGGGGUCCAUUCCACGGGUUCCGUGCCGUAGCUAACGCUUUAAGUACCCCGCCUGGGGAGUACGGCCGCAAGGCUAAAACUCAAAGGAAUUGACGGGGCCCCGCACAAGCGGCGGAGCAUGCGGAUUAAUUCGAUGCAACGCGUAGAACCUUACCUGGGUUUGACAUGGAUCGGGAGUGCUCAGAGAUGGGUGUGCCUCUUUUGGGGUCGGUUCACAGGUGGUGCAUGGCUGUCGUCAGCUCGUGUCGUGAGAUGUUGGGUUAAGUCCCGCAACGAGCGCAACCCUUGUUCACUGUUGCCAGCACGUUAUGGUGGGGACUCAGUGGAGACCGCCGGGGUCAACUCGGAGGAAGGUGGGGAUGACGUCAAGUCAUCAUGCCCCUUAUGUCCAGGGCUUCACGCAUGCUACAAUGGCUGGUACAGAGAGUGGCGAGCCUGUGAGGGUGAGCGAAUCUCGGAAAGCCGGUCUCAGUUCGGAUUGGGGUCUGCAACUCGACCUCAUGAAGUCGGAGUCGCUAGUAAUCGCAGAUCAGCAACGCUGCGGUGAAUACGUUCCCGGGGCUUGUACACACCGCCCGUCAAGUCAUGAAAGUUGGUAACACCCGAAGCCGGUGGCCUAACCGUUGUGGGGGAGCCGUCGAAGGUGGGACUGGUGAUU
rnacentral:rRNA from 1 species